rnacentral:rRNA from 1 species
ACGGAGUUAAUCGACAGCACUGAGCUGACAAGCCGACAAGCUAGCAAGCGAACAAGCAAGAGGAAUAGAAGACUUUGAGUAUGAAGUUUUAUACCUGAUAGCUUGUAAGCCUGUAAGCUGGGGAGCUUGCAAGCUUUGUGCUGUUGGUUAACUUAGUGGCGGACGGGUGAGUAACACGUAGGUAACCUGCCCUGAAGAGGGGGACAACACCGCGAAAGCGGUGCUAAUACCGCAUAAGACCACGAUCUGGGAUGGUUGUGGUAAAAGUAGCAAUACACUUCAGGAUGGGCCUGCGGCCUAUCAGGUAGUUGGUGGGGUAACGGCCCACCAAGCCAGAGACGGGUAGCCGGUCUGAGAGGACGAACGGCCACACUGGAACUGAGACACGGUCCAGACUCCUACGGGAGGCAGCAGUGGGGAAUUUUGCACAAUGGGGGAAACCCUGAUGCAGCGACGCCGCGUGGAGGAUGAAGGCCUUCGGGUUGUAAACUCCUUUUCUCAGGGACAAUGAUGAUGGUACCUGAGGAAUAAGCCACGGCUAACUCUGUGCCAGCAGCCGCGGUAAGACAGAGGUGGCAAGCGUUGUUCGGAAUCACUGGGCUUAAAGGGCGCGUAGGUGGUAGUGCAAGUCUGAGGUGGAAUCCCAUGGCUUAACCAUGGAACUGCCUUGGA